GGCGGCAUGCCUAACACAUGCAAGUCGAACGGGACCUUCGGGUCUAGUGGCGCACGGGUGCGUAACGCGUGGGAAUCUGCCCUCAGGUACGGAAUAACUCAGGGAAACUUGAGCUAAUACCGUAUAAUGACUUCGGUCCAAAGAUUUAUCGCCUGAGGAUGAGCCCGCGUAGGAUUAGCUUGUUGGUGAGGUAAAAGCUCACCAAGGCGACGAUCCUUAGCUGGUCUGAGAGGAUGAUCAGCCACACUGGGACUGAGACACGGCCCAGACUCCUACGGGAGGCAGCAGUGGGGAAUAUUGGACAAUGGGCGAAAGCCUGAUCCAGCAAUGCCGCGUGAGUGAUGAAGGCCUUAGGGUUGUAAAGCUCUUUUACCCGGGAUGAUAAUGACAGUACCGGGAGAAUAAGCUCCGGCUAACUCCGUGCCAGCAGCCGCGGUAAUACGGAGGGAGCUAGCGUUGUUCGGAAUUACUGGGCGUAAAGCGCGCGUAGGCGGCUUUGUAAGUUAGAGGUGAAAGCCCGGAGCUCAACUCCGGAACUGCCUUUAAAACUGCAUCGCUUGAAUCCAG
rnacentral:rRNA from 1 species